UACGUAGGGGGCGAGCGUUGUCCGGAUUUAUUGGGCGUAAAACGCUUGUAGGCGGCCACAUCGCGUCGGACGUGAAAUCUCCCGGCUCAACUGGGAGAGGUCCUUGGAUACUGGCGGACUCGAGGGAGGCAGAGGAGAAUAGAAUUCCCGGUGUAGUGGUGAUAUGCGUAGAUAUCGGGAGGAAUACCAGUGGCGAAGGCGGUUCUCUGGGCCUUACCUGACGCUGAGACGCGAAAGCGUGGGGAGCGAACCGG
rnacentral:rRNA from 1 species